rnacentral:pre_miRNA from 1 species
CAACUACUCCCUCUGUCCCAAAUUUCUUGUCUUAGAUUUGUCUAGAUACGGAUGUAUCUAAUACUAAAAUGUGACUUGAUACAUCCGNUACUAAAAUGUGACUUGAUACAUCCGUAUCUAGACAAAUCUAAGACAAGAAUUUUGGGACGGAGGGAGUACUUU